GACGAACCGUGCGAACGUUAUUCGGAAUCACUGGGCUUAAAGCGCGUGUAGGCGGGCCGGCACGUCGGUCGCUGAAAUCCCCCGGCUCAACCGGGGAAGGGGCGCCGAUACGACCGGCCUGGAGGGGGGUAGGGGGCGCUGGAACUCACGGUGGAGCGGUGAAAUGCGUUGAGAUCGUGAGGAACGCCAGUGGCGAAGGCGACUCUUUGGCCUGUAACUGACGCUGAGGCGCGAAAGCGUGGGGAGCAAACAGG
rnacentral:rRNA from 1 species